GGGGUUGUGGCUCAGCGGUAGAGUGUUCCCUUAGCAUGUGCAAGGCCCUGGGUUUAAUCCUCAGCACCACA
rnacentral:tRNA from 1 species